rnacentral:snoRNA from 2 species
CCCAAAUGACGAAUGUGGCAUCUCUCCACGGACACCGCAUUCGCACUGCGGCGCGUGACAUCACUGUUGCCUUCGAACCUAAUACCAGGGCCGAUGUGGGCGUGGGUGUGGGUGUGGGUGUGCAGCUGAAGA